UACGAAGGGGGCUAGCGUUGUUCGGAAUUACUGGGCGUAAAGCGUGCGCAGGCGGCUUCUCAAGUCAGUGGUGAAAGCCCGGAGCUCAACUCCGGAACUGCCAUUGAAACUGUUUAGCUUGAGGAUGAGAGAGGUGAGUGGAAUUCCCAGUGUAGAGGUGAAAUUCGUAGAUAUUGGGAAGAACACCGGUGGCGAAGGCGGCUCACUGGCUCAUUACUGACGCUCAGGCGCGAUAGCGUGGGGAUCAAACAGG
rnacentral:rRNA from 1 species